rnacentral:misc_RNA from 1 species
UGGGACCAAAAAACGGCCGAGUGCGACAUAGGCGAGUCAACGUCGACUAUUAGUGUGAUUCGCGCCCCGAGAAACCUGUCAAAAGUUUCGCAUUUCCGAUCGCACCGUUAUUGCCAGAGUUGGUCGAAAAUCAGCAGAAAAAAUUGACCAAAACUCGAGACACGACCAAAACUCGAGAUACCAUGUUGAAACUGGGCUUGCUGGAAGAAACUUAGCUCCAGAUUAGUAAACGUGGUGUUCUCGAAAGCCGCCCCUGAACCUGCCAACCACGUUUCCUGGAGAAGAAACAGUCAAGUGCUCUAGACGAUGUUUUCGGCCAUGGUCGAAUCGCCUUGACAAUGUGGCUCUGUGGAUAUGGCUCUGUGACGACAUUGACAACCGGACCAUCUCGCCAUCUGACCUUCUGCAACUUGACUGGCUGAUCAGUAGCGUCGACAGAUGAUGGUCUGGGGAUGAACAGACGUCUUUUUAUGAAUUCGAUUCUCGUUUUCCUCUUUUGGAGUGUUUCUAUGGGUACUUUUCUCGAGCUACAAGUCGAGUAAGUCUCGAGGGAGUCGAAUAAGUCAACUAAGCCACCCAUCACUCCUUUGAACAGUACCGCCAAUUCCCGCUCUAGACUACCUGGUUCAAAUUCAACACCAAUUGAGACUCCUGGUUCCACUUGAGGAGCAACAGCCGCUCAGUUCUCUAGUCCGCUAGAGCUAGUACAGCUUUGGUUGGUGUCUCUACCAAAAGAAACACGUCCUGUCGCCAUAAAAGAAAGACAAGAUAGUCAUUUAGCGCCAGUUAUCGAUUGUUUGAACUCAUGCCGGAAACUAGUUGCCGAUAUCACGUGACAUUCACAAUGGAUGACUAAUCAUGCAAGUGAUAUCGAACAUAUUGGACGUUGGAGCCGAGGUAAUUAUCGCGUCUCCAGUGUCUUUGUGUUGAAGACAUGGGCAUAUUACGGGCUGCUCCCUAAUGAGUAUCAAUGUUAGAUGCUCUUUCAUCAGUAACCCAUAUAACUUCUUGUAAUGAUGA